CUGACGCUCAGUCUUUCUCUGCGCCAUCAUCUCGGAGGUGUCACUGCUGUUUGGUAGUAUUUGCUUGCCUAUGUCAGCCCUGCCUCACCCCAAAGCAUGUGAGAUAACACAGUGAAAAGAAAAAGAAGAAAAGCGGAUGGGAGAGAAGAAAACACACCCGAGUCGGAUGAAGAUGCCUGUAGAAAGGGGAGAUGUGGACACGCAGUGACCUGUCAGGAUGGGAGUCCCUAAGAAGGAGAACUGCCAGCACCCUGGAAAGUCAGGAUACUUGAUGCCUGCCAGCUGGAGCUGAUUACGUUGAUUAAGAAGAGACCAAGGUUGAGGAGGUGAAAUCUUCUGGGAAGCACAUCCCCGGGGUCAGCACACACAAGCUGUGUUCUGGAGGUAGCCAAGGUUGUGUCUCGUGCUGGCAGCUUCUCGGUAGCGUAAGAGUCACCCAGGUGGUGCUGGUUUUGAAGGCAUGAAGAGCAGCUGAGGCUCGGCACUGAGAGGCUAAGAAAGGCCAUUGGUGAAGGUGUAGCCUCAGUGGCAGUUGAAGGUCCAGGACUGCAGGGAUCAUGCAGAGAAACUCAGGCUUGGCACCAUGAAGAGAGCCUCUGAGAGGCUGCUGGUGACUGUGCAGCCCAGUUGCAGCAGAAGACACCAGCAUUUUGAAGAUGCCAGUACCAUGGGAUGAGCACCAAGAACAGUAGCAGCUAUGGAGUGGAGUCAGCAAGAACCUUGGAGACAAGCUGUGUGUGCUGCAGGGGGCAGAGCUGGCGAAGUGACCCAAGCCCCUUGGAGGAGCCCAGGGG
rnacentral:lncRNA from 1 species